rnacentral:misc_RNA from 1 species
CUUGUCCAAGAGAAUGGAGAAAAAUCUAAUAUUUCAUAGUAACUACAAAUUUUGUUAAUUAGGUGCAAAGAGCAGAAAUAAUUUGUCCCAAAUGAUUUGUUGAACAUAUGUAUUAUCUGGGAUUAUAUAUAUCACGACUUCAUGGAAUAAAACAAAUAUAUUCAAUGCCUUAAAAAAUAGUAUAUAGAUCAAAUUGCAUAAACAAAUUGAUCAAGCACAAAAGAUAAGGUGAAUAGUGAAAGAAUUUCUAAUUAGGCAAAAGACCAAGACACCUUUGAACUCCCAGUAAA